CAACUAUUUCUUUCUUUUUUUGUUCAUUUCAGUGGAUGGAUUUAAUCUUUGUUCAUUAAGAAUCACGAGAUGGAUAGAGAUAGAUCGAUUUUUUGCUUUAGUACAUCCUGCAUUGGUGAUUGUUGCUCUAUCAGUUGAUAAAAUCUCCAUACAAACUGCAGUCAAGCAAAAAACGUGUUCCAAAGAUGCAUGAACUUGAAGUAUACUAUUGUUUGUGACAUUCACACAUACAUUGGGAUCAAAAGUAAACAAAAACCACAAAUCAAAUAGCUUUCAAUUUGGGAACCAUGGUCCAUGUAAUUUCAAUCCAUUCAUUUACUGUGAUAACAAUCCUACGAUCUACCGCAAAUCCUACUUUUAUUUAUCCUAAUAUUAAAUCCUAUAAUCUACCCCAAAUCCUACUUUUAUUUAACCUAAUUUCAAACCUACACUUGAAAAUCCAAGUGUCUCAUAUCUAGUAGUCACUAUACUCUAUCAGAUUGUACACUAAAUCUGUUAAGUAUUCCUUGACAAAUAAAGUUUAUGUGCCACUUUCAGCCGCUUUGUUCCUUUCAUUAUGUGAACUGCUACAUAAUAGAAUCUUAAAUCUUUACAGUCAUCUGAAUCAUAAAAUCUUGGUGAUUCUUCAACCAUUUGUAAUCUUCUGGACUUAAAAACCUUCUCAAGUUCACUUUUGCCUGUAAAUGUCACAAUUCGAAGAUAAAAGUGUCCUUGGAGAUAAGCCAACGCAUGACCCAUUUAGAGAGAGACUUUCGUGCAAUCCUUCAUUCACUAUAAACAGUCAAAAUAAAAAUAUUUUCUUUUUAUUUUUUAACAUACGUACAUAACCAAUAUAGUAUUACUUGCCAAGAAUCAUCCUCAAGGAUAAUAUUUCCAUUAUCCUUUCGGUCAAGGUCAGCAGGUUACACCAAAAAUAAAGCAAACCACCAAAUCUAAGAGCACCAAAUUUUUUAUAAGCAUCAGUGAAAGUUUAGAUUUGAAGAGUCCUAAUACCUUUUGAAGUAAUCUUUAGGUUUAAAAAAUAACAUAUAUCAUUUAAAUAUAAGACAACCAUGAUGUUAUAAUUAACAAUAAAAUAUGAGAUUUGUUAUGUUACCUCUAAACGGAGGACCAUAAUCUGGAUUGUCCAACGCAACAAUAAACAAAGUAUGAAGGCAUUUUCUUUUGCUUGAACCAAUUCGACUGCUAUUGGGACUUCCUCGAAUUGAUGGUUAUUAGUUCGUCUAUCCUUAUAAUACAUUUUUUCAUAUAAAGAGCCGAGAUGCGUUAUACCACUGCCCAUCAGUUGAAAAAAUGUAUCUUCUUUUGGGUUAUAACGCAUCUCGGCUCUUUAUAUGAAAAAAUGUAUUAUAAGGAUAGACAAACUGAUAACCAUCAGUUGGAGGUAGGCUCAAUAUCAGUCGAAUUGGUUCAAGCAUAAGAAGAUGCCCUUCAUGCUUUGUUUAUUGUUGUGUUGGACGAUCCGGAUUUCGAUCCUCCGUUUGGAGGUAACAUAACAAAUUUAAUAUUUUACUGUUAAUUAUAACAUCAUCAUUGUCUUAUAUUUAAAUGAUAUAUAUAUAUAUAUAUGUUUUUUUUUUUUUGAAACCUAAACAAUAGCUGAGAUUACUUCAGAAGCUACUAACACUCCUCAAAUCUACAGUUUCAUUGAUGCUUAUAAAAAAAUUGGUGCUCUUACGUUGAGUGGUUUGGAGGACAAAGCUUUAUUUUUGGUUUACCCUGCUGACCUUGACCUAAAGGAUAAUGGAAAUAUUAUCCUUGAGGAUGAUUCUCUGUAAGUAAAUACUAUAUUGGUUAUGUAUGUUAAAAAAUAAAAAGAAAUUAUUUUCUUUUUGACUGUCUACGUGAAUGUAGGAUUGCACGAGAGUCUCUCCCUUUAUGUGUUGUCUUAUCUCCAAGGACACUUUUAUCUUCGAAUUGUGAUAUUUACAGGAAAAAGUGAACUUGAGAAGGUUUUUUUAAGUCCGAAAGAUUACAAAUGGUUGAAGAAUCACCAAGAUUUUAUGAUUAAGAUGACUGCAAAGAUUUAAGAUUGUAUUAUGUAGCAAUUCACACAAUGGAAGGAACAAAGCGGCUAAAAGUGGCACGUAAACUAUAUUUGUCAAGGAUUACAACAGAUUUUGUCUACAAUCUGAUAGAGUAUAAUGACUAUUAGAUAUGAGACACUAGGAUUUAAAGUGUAGGUUUGAAAUUAGCUAGGUUAAAUAAAAGUAGGAUUUGGGAUAGAUUAUAGGAUUUAAUAUAAGGAUAAAUAAAAGUAGGAUUUGCGGUAGAUUGUAGGAUUGUUAUCACAGUGAAUGAAUGGAUUGAAAUUACAUGAACCAUAGUUCCCAAAUUGAAAGCCAUUUGAUUUGUGGAUUUUGUUUGCUUUUGAUCCAAAUGAAUGUCAUCUGUUCUGUGUUUUUUCCAGUGAGUGCACGUUUUAAUGUGGUGUCUGGGCUUAAGGGAUUAACUAAACAUGUUUUGAGUAAUUGUGCAUAAUGUCGAAUCAUCAAUAACUGCUUUAGUCAUUUUAAGUGAGAGGAGGCUGAUAUAUAUUUGAUUGUUUCUAUGCAACGAUGGCUGUAACAACCCACGACAUCGUACCACUUGAAUGUUUCUCAUAAUCCUCUUUGACAUCAUGGACACCGUUGUUUGUGACUCCUUUUACCACGAUGUCCCCCUGCCUUCUUUAGAAUGUCUUUUGAAGAAUAAAUCAAAUGCAAGCACCUGACUGCGUGAACGAUUCGAUAAGGGAGUUAGUGAUGAGGUGGAGCUAGCAAGAACAUUCUUUAACGAUGGAAGGCCUCUAGAUUUGGAAGGUUGUUUCUUACUACUUCCCAGCCAUGUCAGUGGUCAUUUUUGUAUGUCAAAUACUGCAUCACUCGUUAGUUUUUACUUUAUUCUUAGCUGUUAGAAUGUACUUGAGAAUGACUUUUCAUUUUGCUUCGUUUUUUCUGCUAAUAAUCUUGUGUAAACGGUUAUUUUUCUUGCUGUAUGAAGUUUGGCACUGAUAGUGAAGAACAAUGGUUUACGAACUGUGGGGUUCUAGUCUGUGAAAACCUUUUGCAGCAUAAACUGUUAGCCAUUGAAAUCUCAAUAUAUCAAUAUUUUCAUGACUCUCAA